UUGACCAAUCAGAGACGUAUCCUGCAAAAGUGGAAAAAAGAUCAACAAUAUAAGAUGAAUGAUUACAAAUACUUCAGAAAUCUGAAGUACAUUCAAGCGAAGAUUUGCAUCCCAAUGUAAUUACGUCAGGAUCUAAGGAGUUUCGACGAGAAAAGCAAGAGCAAUUGAGGAACGGAUCUAAAUCUAGGAAAAAAUAGAAAGUUACCAGAAGAGUGAAAACCGUUGUAA
rnacentral:misc_RNA from 1 species